rnacentral:rRNA from 1 species
AACGAACGCUGGCGGCAUGCCUAACACAUGCAAGUCGAACGAGACCUUCGGGUCUAGUGGCGCACGGGUGCGUAACGCGUGGGAACCUGCCUUUAGGUUCGGAAUAACUCAGAGAAAUUUGAGCUAAUACCGGAUAAUGUCUUCGGACCAAAGAUUUAUCGCCUUUAGAUGGGCCCGCGUUGGAUUAGCUAGUUGGUGGGUAAAGGCCUACCAAGGCGACGAUCCAUAGCUGGUCUGAGAGGAUGAUCAGCCACACUGGGACUGAGACACGGCCCAGACUCCUACGGGAGGCAGCAGUGGGGAAUAUUGGACAAUGGGCGAAAGCCUGAUCCAGCAAUGCCGCGUGAGUGAUGAAGGCCUUAGGGUUGUAAAGCUCUUUUACCCGAGAUGAUAAUGACAGUAUCGGGAGAAUAAAGCUCCGGCUAACUCCGUGCCAG